GACGAACGCUGGCGGCGUGCUUCAUACAUGCAAGUCGAACGAGAAGCUGACUUCGGUCAGUGGAAAGUGGCGGACGGGUGAGUAAUAUGUAGGAAAUCUGCCCUAGAGAGGGGGACAACAGAGGGAAACUUCUGCUAAUACCCCAUAUGAGCUUAGUUGAAAUACUAAUCUUGAAAACUCCGGUGCUCUAGGAUGAGCCUGCAUCUGAUUAGCUAGUUGGCGGUGUAAUGGACCACCAAGGCGACGAUCUCUAGCUGGUUUGAGAGGACAAUCAGCCACAUUGGAAUUGAGAAACGGACCAAACUCC
rnacentral:rRNA from 1 species